UACGAAGGGGGCUAGCGUUACUCGGAUUGACUGGGCGUAAAGGGCGCGUAGGCGGCUGGUCCAGUCAGACGUGAAAUUCCUGGGCUCAACCUGGGGGCUGCGUUUGAUACGUGCUGUCUGGAGUUCGGAAGAGGGUCGUGGAAUUCCCAGUGUAGAGGUGAAAUUCGUAGAUAUUGGGAAGAACACCGGUGGCGAAGGCGGCGACCUGGUCCGAUACUGACGCUGAGGCGCGAAAGCGUGGGGAGCAAACAGG
rnacentral:rRNA from 1 species